rnacentral:tRNA from 1 species
GCAGUGGUGGUUCAGUGGUAGAAUCCUCACCUUCUAUGCAGGAGACCGAGGUUCAUUUCCUGGCCAGUGCC